CCUACGGGAGGCAGCAGUGGGGAAUAUUGGGCAAUGGAGGCAACUCUGACCCAGCAAUGCCGCGUGAAUGAAGAAGGUCUUCGGAUUGUAAAGUUCUUUAAUCAGGGACGAAGAAGAUGACGGUACCUGACUAAGAAGCCCCGGCUAACUACGUGCCAGCAGCCGCGGUAAUACGUAGGGGGCAAGCGUUAUCCGGAUUUACUGGGUGUAAAGGGAGCGUAGACGGCAGCGCAAGUCUGGAGGGAAAUGCCGGGGCCCAACCCCGGAACUGCUCUGGAAACUGUGAAGCUGGAGUGCAGGAGAGGUAAGCGGAAUUCCUGGUGUAGCGGUGAAAUGCGUAGAUAUCAGGAGGAACACCGGCGGCGAAGGCGGCUUACUGGACUGUAACUGACGUUGAGGCUCGAAGGCGUGGGGAGCAAACAGGAUUAGAUACCCGAGUAGUC
rnacentral:rRNA from 1 species